rnacentral:tRNA from 1 species
GGUAUAGCUUAGAGGGAGAGCGCGUGCCUAGCAUCCACAAGGUCCUGGGUUCAGUCCCCAGUACC